CUCCCAGCGUCCUUGUCUAUCAAACUGAGGUUGCAUCAGUACAGAGGUAGAUGUCACGGUGUUUGCAAAACUUCUGGGACCAAAGGAGACCACGUUACUGGUGAAGGACCAGACAAGAGCAAAGGUGUUUAACAUGCUGCAGCAGAAGGCUAAGGUGGAGGGAGAUGCCAUCAGGACAGAGGUGUCCCUCACAAGACAAGAUAAGGAGGUACAGAUGCCGUGCAGGGGAGAAUCGUGCCCUAAAAACUUAACCUGGUAACAGAUCUGCUACAACACGUUGCAGGUGAUACUAAACUGGCAAGGACUGUAAGUACUUCUGAAGGAUUUCAUUAAGCUCUUAGUAAAUUUAAGUGAUGACUCAAAAUAAACAUGAUGCAAUUCAAUAUGGCCAAAUGCAAAGUACGGUGCUUAAGCAGGAAUAAGUGACCACAGUAUUGCAGGAUCGAAUGUAACUGUUUAUGUAGCACUUCUGUAGGAAAGGUCUGGAUUUUUCUUAGAGAAAAAAACAUUUCAUGUUUCAUUUAGAAAAGCAAGAGAUUGAGAGCAAUCUUCCAACACAUCAGCAGGUGCUAUUAAGAAAAAGACAUGAAUCUGGUCUCCAUUUCCCAUGGUAAAGGUGAAUGUUUAUGUGCAUUAGAUGACUUCUCAAAAACUAUUCCAUCUCUAUUUUCUAUUUUCCUGUUUAUUAAGCAAUGAGACCAUCACAUAAAAGUUGAUCUCUUUAAAUAUUCUUGCCUUAAGCAUCUACAAGCCAUGAAGAAAGCGACUCAUUUUUCUUCGGAGCGUCUCAAAAUCGCACCCGGUGUGUCCUUGGUGCUCAGACGCGCAACUGUGAAUUUUUCCAGUCUAUCUCUCGUAGUAACCUAUGGAAAGCAGGUCUACUAACCCCAAAUCUGCGGAGAGACCAAAUGCCAACCGGCAAGUCCAGUCUCUCCAAUUUAUAUUGCCUCACUCAGUCACUUUCUCUCCGUCUCUCCCUGUUCCAGUAACUCCUUUCCUGAUAGGUUAGGUAAGAAAACUAAUAAUCUUGCGGCGUUUGGAGCUGGCUGUGUUAUUAGAGUCUCCAUGGGUACUAAUUCCACACACUUCCUUGGCUUAGGCCAGGACAUACUUUUCAUAAAACGUUACAGAAAAAUACAUCAUAAAAGCUUUUUAUUGCAUGUCAAUAAGGUGAUUCUUGAAAUCUUGAAAUGUCUGAUGGGGAUUUUUCAAAGCAAUUGAAAAGCGCACGUGGUGAUUCUGCUGGGUUUAACUGGAGGGGGGGAACCAAACAAAACCCCCACAAACAAAAAUAUUCCGUAAAGCUUUAUAAAAAACGCAGCUUUUCUUAGCAGCACCUGCCUUCAAAAACCGUAGAGAAGAACUGAGACUGAGCUGGAGCACGUACUGGUUUUCAUUAUGCAGCCCUUACUACUAGAAUUAAAAUAAACGGGAGGAUGUGGGGAGAGGAGCACCUUCCGCUGCUGUGACUAAAGCGUCUUAAGCCACCUCAGAUCCUAUCGGUCUUUUGAAACUUAAGAGAAAUGCCCAAGAUAUAGGACUGGGUUAACUCUGCACGAGCCAGGCCGGCUCCGAAGCAGCGAGGUUGAUGUGUGUUGGUGGGAGAUGUAAUUACCCGCAAUAAGAGGAAGGACACAUCCGCACUUGUUUUUAAAGCUAUCCCUCCAUUCAUAAUUUCUUCUUUAGGAGCAAAACUGUGUUUAACCUUCACCACAAAGCCAUGACCAGGCUCAUCAUCAGCAUAAUAAUAUCAAGACCCUUUGGUUGCAAAGAGAAACCUCUUAGAAUUUAAACGACGGAACCGUCUUAACUUUCAAAUAUGUUUAA